AUGAUGUGCUUAAUGGAAUCAAGAGGAGAGAGGUCGCCAACGGAGAAGUGUAGUGAUGUGUCUGAGGUGAUAAUCAGUCUUGAAUAUACUCAAUGGCAAAGUAAGCUCUAUGCCCAACAUGGGGCCGGAACCCACAACCCAGAGAUCGAGUCUCCUGCUCUACUGACAGAGCCAGCCAGGCAUCCCUGGGUUUUUGUUUUUGUUUUCUUGGGUAGAAAAGUAUGGAAAUGAAACGACAUUCAUGAAAUCUAUGAUGAUGAUGAUGCCGUCAAGGAGUUCUCUGACUAGUGGGAGAAAUGGACACCUAAACAGGUACUUAAAAGUGCAUGAGGGAGUGCCAUUCAGUUUGCUAGAGCUUACAUUCCAGCUAGAGAGAGAUGAAAAGUAAAGCGGAGGGCUAGGGAGAGGCCACACCACAGGAAGCCCUGUGCCCCAGGGCUCCUAUACUAGUAGGAUAAAGAACUGCCAUCACCAACAAGGGUCUGAAAUGCUGGAAGUAGAGUUCUCA
rnacentral:tRNA from 1 species